rnacentral:rRNA from 1 species
GAUGAACGCUAGCUACAGGCUUAACACAUGCAAGUCGAGGGGAAACGAUAUUGGAAGCUUGCUUCCGAUAGGCGUCGACCGGCGCACGGGUGAGUAACGCGUAUCCAACCUGCCCACCACUUGGGGAUAACCUUGCGAAAGUAAGGCUAAUACCCAAUGAUAUCUCAAGAAGACAUCUGAAAGGGAUUAAGGAUUUAUCGGUGAUGGAUGGGGAUGCGUCUGACUAGCUUGUUGGCGGGGUAACGGCCCACCAAGGCGACGAUCAGUAGGGGUUCUGAGAGGAAGGUCCCCCACAUUGGAACUGAGACACGGUCCAAACUCCUACGGGAGGCAGCAGUGAGGAAUAUUGGUCAAUGGGCGAGAGCCUGAACCAGCCAAGUAGCGUGCAGGAUGACGGCCCUAUGGGUUGUAAACUGCUUUUAUAAGGGAAUAAAGUGAGCCUCGUGAGGCUUUUUGCAUGUACCUUAUGAAUAAGGACCGGCUAAUUCCGUGCCAGCCGCCGCGGUAA